UAGAUGGUAUUACAGUGUACUUCCUUUAGUUUGGUAUGAAUAAACAAAAAGUCAAUAUUCUUCUAUAACCACAUGUGAAAGCAGAGGGUGUGCAUAGUUUUUAUAUCUAGAGAUCGGCAGUCCUUCAGUCCCCCUUGGAUUUAGUGCCAUGGAUAAGUCCUUUGGUGGGGACACACUCAGGAAGCUGCAACUAAAACAGGAAGCUGAAGUCAACACUAAGGAAUUCCAUCAGAUACAUGCCUUGACAGCAAUCUGCCUCGUCAUUGAGGGUGGAAUAUAGAUGCAAACAAGGUUGACAUCUUGGUGCAGCAGGACAUCAUCAGAUCGGCUGGUGUGAAAUGGGAUGCCAAGCUCUUUGGCCAAGCAGCAUGCUUCCUCUUCGCUUCGUCCCCAGAGUGCAUGAACCUCAAAGCCUUCAGCUUUCAACAAUGGGACCAGCACCCGGGCUGUGCUCCCUGUGCCAAACACACCGACUCCUGGCAACAUGGCAGUGCCACUCAUUGAGACCUUACGUGUGAACCAUGGCCAACCUCACCAACAAGAGCAUAUGAUCCACUUGUCUGUCAAGGCCUUUUCUGUUGUCUUGGAAUCUGGGAGCUUUUACCUGUAAAAAUAAAUGAAUAGACUAUUAAA